rnacentral:rRNA from 1 species
CAGUCGCAGCGAGACCUUCGCGGUCUAGCGGCGGACGGGUGAGUAACGCGUGGGAACGUGCCCUUCUCUACGGAAUAGCCCCGGGAAACUGGGAGUAAUACCGUAUACGCCCUUUGGGGGAAAGAUUUAUCGGAGAAGGAUCGGCCCGCGUUGGAUUAGGUAGUUGGUGGGGUAAUGGCCCACAAGCCGACGAUCCAUAGCUGGUUUGAAGGAUGAUCAGCCACACUGGGACUGAGACACGGCCCAGACUCCUACGGGAGGCAGCAGUGGGGAAUCUUAGACAAUGGGGGCAACCCUGAUCUAGCCAUGCCGCGUGAGUGAUGAAGGCCUUAGGGUUGUAAAGCUCUUUCAGCUGGGAAGAUAAUGACGGUACCAGCAGAAGAAGCCCCGGCUAACUCCGUGCCAGCAGCCGCGGUAAUACGGAGGGGGCUAGCGUUGUUCGGAAUUACUGGGCGUAAAGCGCACGUAGGCGGACUGGAAAGUCAGAGGUGA